rnacentral:rRNA from 1 species
UGGGGAAUCUUCCGCAAUGGACGAAAGUCUGACGGAGCAACGCCGCGUGAGUGAAGAAGGUUUUCGGAUCGUAAAACUCUGUCUUUUGGGGCGAACGUGAGUAUGGUGAACAAUCAUAGUCAGUGACGGUACCAAAGGAGGAAGCCACGGCUAACUACGUGCCAGCAGCCGCGGUAAUACGUAGGUGGCAAGCGUUGUCCGGAAUUAUUGGGCGUAAAGAGCGCGUAGGCGGGAUAGUCAGUCUGUUGUAAAGUGCGGGGCUCAACCCCGUGAUGGCAAUGGAAACAGCUAUUCUUGAGUGCAGGAGAGGAAAGUGGAAUUCCCAGUGUAGCGGUGAAAUGCGUAGAUAUUGGGAGGAACACCAGUGGCGAAGGCGACUUUCUGGACUGUGUCUGACGCUGAGGCGCGAAAGCCAGGGGAGCGAACGGGAUUAGAUACCCCGGUAGUCCUGGCCGUAAACGAUGGGUACUAGGUGUGGGAGGUAUCGACCCCUUCCGUGCCGGAGUUAACGCAAUAAGUACCCCGCCUGGGGAGUACGGUCGCAAGACUGAAACUCAAAUGAAUUGACGGGGUCAUAGCUGUUU